rnacentral:rRNA from 1 species
UGGGGAAUAUUGGACAAUGGGCGAAAGCCUGAUCCAGCCAUGCCGCGUGUGUGAAGAAGGCCUUUUGGUUGUAAAGCACUUUAAGCGAGGAGGAGGCUCUUCUAGUUAAUACCUAGGAUGAGUGGACGUUACUCGCAGAAUAAGCACCGGCUAACUCUGUGCCAGCAGCCGCGGUAAUACAGAGGGUGCGAGCGUUAAUCGGAUUUACUGGGCGUAAAGCGUGCGUAGGCGGCUGAUUAAGUCGGAUGUGAAAUCCCUGAGCUUAACUUAGGAAUUGCAUUCGAUACUGGUCAGCUAGGGUAUGGGAGAGGAUGGUAGAAUUCCAGGUGUAGCGGUGAAAUGCGUAGAGAUCUGGAGGAAUACCGAUGGCGGAGGCAGCCAUCUGGCCUAAUACUGACGCUGAGGUACGAAAGCAUGGGGAGCAAACAGG